GACGAACGCUGGCGGCGUGCUUAACACAUGCAAGUCGAACGGUAAGGCCCUUCGGGGUACACGAGUGGCGAACGGGUGAGUAACACGUGGGUGAUCUGCCCUGCACUUCGGGAUAAGCCUGGGAAACUGGGUCUAAUACCGGAUAGGACCACUGCCUGCAUGGGUGGUGGUGGAAAGCUUUUGCGGUGUGGGAUGGGCCCCCGGCCUAUCAGCUUGUUGGUGGGGUGAUGGCCUACCAAGGCGACGACGGGUAGCCGGCCUGAGAGCGUGACCGGCCACACUGGGACUGAGAUACGGCGCAGACUCCUACGGGAGGCAGCAGUGGGGAAUAUUGCACAAUGGGCGCAAGCCUGAUGCAGCGACGCCGCGUGAGGGAUGACGGCCUUCGGGUUGUAAACCUCUUUCAGCACCGACGAAGCGCAAGUGACGGUAGGUGCAGAAGAAGGACCGGCCGACUACGUGCCAGCCGCCGCAGUAA
rnacentral:rRNA from 1 species